UAGAAAGCUUGUUGCACAACCCCAGCGCAACCACAGACCUAUUUUGGGCCUCAGGUAAAUGAGCAAACACCUCAUUCUGACCCCAGUUCAGUCUGGACUUUGGAUGUGGUGUCCACAAGGACCUUCCUUCCCCACGGUCGUUUUCUCACCCGGAAGAGUCUGAUCCUCAACUUGGCGAAGCAUCUGAGGACUGUGGCUGGCACCACCUCAACGGAAGUGGCGGUUCCCUCUGUCCUGGCCUGGUGGGAGGAUGCUGCAGGCACUGGAUGUAGCAGCUAGAAUCAAGGAGGGAGAACAAACAGCAUGAAAUCAGCAGGCACUGUCCAGAGACAACCAGCGAGGGCCCUGCUCCAACACAUUUGGUUUGGUUUGUAAAAAGAUCCCUGGAUAUUUGGUUUGGUUUGUAAAAAGAUCCCUGGAUAUUAUCAUGAGUUCUUUUUUGACCCCAGGGGAUCUCCUAGGCAGUACUGGUGCCGUGCCAUAAGGUGCCAAGGUAAUUACCAGGCUGCACAUGUGUGGAGUUGGGGACAGAGUCCAAGGGUUUGUGGCAAUCUCUGCCCCAGUUGCUUCGAAGUCCCAAGGAGGAAUGUGGAAGGAGACAUUUUCCAUCUAUGCACCCUACUGA
rnacentral:lncRNA from 1 species